CCUACGGGGGGCUGCAGUGAGGAAUAUUGGUCAAUGGACGAGAGACUGAACCAGCCAAGCAGCGUGAAGGAUGACUGUACUAUGGGUUGUAAACCUCUUUUAUCAAGGAAUAAAACGAGGCACGUGUGCCUUUUUGCAUGUACUUUAUGAAUAAGGAUCGGCUAACUCCGUGCCAGCAGCCGCGGUAAUACGGAGGAUCCGAGCGUUAUCCGGAUUUAUUGGGUUUAAAGGGAGCGUAGAUGGGAUGUUAAGUUAGUUGUGAAAGUUUGCGGCUCAACCGUAAAAUUGCAAGGGGUACUGGCAGUCUUGAGUGCAGUUGAGGUAGGCGGAAUUCGUGGUGUAGCGGUGAAAUGCUUAGAUAUCACGAAGAACCCCGAUUGCGAAGGCAGCAUACGAAACUGUGACUGACGUUGAUGCUCGAAGGUGUGGGUAUCGAACAGGAUUAGAUACCCGUGUAGUC
rnacentral:rRNA from 1 species